rnacentral:lncRNA from 1 species
UAGCUAGUGUAUGUUGGGUUGUCUUCUUCGCACUCUCAUUGCUUGGUUUUUUGCAUUAUUUCUAUUUGUAGACCAACUAGCUUUGAACUAAUCUAGAUUAUUACUUAAACUAAUCUAUUUGCAGCAGCUGUCCGCCCAAGCUUGGAAGCACCGUAUCUAUUGGUGUCUGCAUCUAACGCUUUCAUACACUCCCCAACAGCUAACGUCUGGCGUGGAUCAACAU